AGAUUUGUGCCGCACUAAAGUGAUGUUGUGAAAAUUUGGAUAUUUUGUGUCAAUACUAUUUGUUUGUAUUGUGCAUUCACAAGCAGAACUGAAAAACAGAACAGAUGUAUGUGAGAAUGAAGUUAUGGUAAUUUAAUCCAAUUCAUAAAGCUCUUUAUUAUAUGUUGAGAAUUUUGUUUUUACCGAUUUUUUUCUACAUUUUAAAACCUGGUCAGUGUCUUAGUUUUUACUCCCUUAAAAUUUUUCGUCUAACCAGUUUUUUUCCUUUUUCUCACUUUCCAAAGCUAAAAAUCAUUUUCUCAUUUCUCAUGUGUUCUUUCACAUCAGCAUUAAUGUUAUUUAAGAUUUUAUUCUUUAAUUAGUCUCAACUAAUUUCUUUCCAUGUUACUACUUCUAAUUUCUUUCCAUGUUAUUAUUGAGUAUUUCUUUUCAUGGCCAAGACUACUUUGAUGCAGAAAUUGCAGAUAACUGUUACAGUCUUACAGACUCCUUGAGAUUUCAUCAUUUCAAAGAUGGAAUUUAUUCAUACGAGGAUGACAUAAUGCACAUUUCUUGUCUUUUUUUCUUUUGAUAAAUGGUAUAUCCCUUUUUUGCCUCAAUACAUCGUCAUCGUCAUCAUAAGGUUAAUUCUCAAUAGAGUUUAUUUUUGUAGGUGUAUUUCUUAUUGUUCAGACGAUGGAUUGUGUGGAGUAUCUCCAUAACUCCAUUUAUUUCUUUUUUUAAGAGAAUGAAUGGGGAAGUGUAAAAUUUUCUUUAGUUUUGUCUAAAGUUAAGGAAUUUUUAUUAAUGUGUGAAUAACAUUAAGCUCUAUUAGUCAAACCAACUUUUAAUUAGUCAGAAAUAUUCCAUUUUCUGUAACGAACUCCAUGAUCUUAAUCAGGCUUGCUAUAUAUUGGGUAGAACAUCCAUAAUACAAAUCAUGGUUUCAUACCAACUCUCUUUCAUUCACUCUAGAUCUCCACUAUGAUGUGUUCUGAGAACUGAGAAGUCGAUCACAAUUCACAAUUGUGGAUGCAUCCAUGUUUGAUUCGGAUAACUCAAGGUUCCUAGGCGAUGGAUGUGACCACUGGAACCACCAAAUUGGUAACGAUGAAAUGAAACACCUGAAGACUUUUUUACUCGACAAGAGUAAGUAUCAGACAUGGAAGGCACAAUUUGGUGCCAUAAUGCACGGAUGCAUGACCCAGGGAACCACUUUGACUAUUUUUGUGAUAAAGAAGAGAUCUCUCAAUGGUCACCAAUGCGGUAGCAUGGUGAGCAUAUAUAAAUGGGAAAUUGAAUACUAGGAGCAUCGGAUUGGAUAAAAAACAGGUACAUCAGAAAAGAUAAAUUGCUGACAUCCUCUCUAACCAAGCUAAUGAUGGUUCAUCUAUGUCGAAAGAGCUUCUGUUCACCAAGAAAAAUAUUUAAGUUUGUCUGAAUUGUGGAGGGUGACUACAUAUUAAUAUGAAGGGAGAAGAGGAGGUAAUGGCCCAACAAUUGGCAUCAUCAUUGAAAAUUUGAAAGAAUCAGAACAAGAGGGUACAAAGAUGAUCUAGCAGAAAUAAUUUGGUCUCACAUGUUUACUAAAUUCUCCACCAUCUUUUUAUGUGGAAUAUAUUAAUGAUAAUAAAUAAAUCAUUAAUAUAAUUUCCUACUUAUAUAAAAUAUGGGCUAAUUCACGUUAUUAGACCCACAGUAAAAAAUCUAUUGGAUAGAUAUGGUUAUCUAUUUUACAGAACUUAUCUCAAUUGUAAUAGAUAUAUAAGGAACAUACAUCAAUGAGAAUGAGUACUCUGUUUUCAUAUAAUUCUCAGGAAUUGAUAUGGUAUCAGAGUUGAGAAAUCAGAAAUCGUUCAUACGAUAUUCUGAUCUGAGCAUCCUCUGUUUCUACUUCUUAUUUCUCUUUAAUUCCUCUUUAAUGAAAUUUAAUUACUUUAAAAAAAAAAAAAGUGUUGAAUUCGUUUUUUUGAUAAUUUUGACGUAAUAUUCUAAAAAAAUAAUUGAUUUUGACUAUCAAGUUUCACCAAGGCUGUUAGGGUGAAAUUCUGGACUCUUCACUGAUACUUAUAGUUCCAUCUCAGAUUUUUAGAACCUCAAUUUCUAAUGCUCAAGGUGACAAAGGUGCAUUUCCCUCCUCAUUGCUAUGGCAGUUUCAAUUGAUUCAUUUUUUAACGUAAUUGUGUUUGAAUAGAUAAUGUAUGGUUUUUAUCUUUUACUUAAGGUCAUCUUCUCCAACUCUGUUGAUUUCAUAAAUCAUUUUUCAUUGAUUAACUAUUUUGUAACACAGAAGCAAAUAAAAAAAUCACCUCUAUGACAAUCGUAUGUUGGUUCUUCCCUUGUGCAGAUGAGAUGUGCUUCUUUUCAAACAUCUUUCCCCUUGUGCUACCACUUUGUAACGUUUUGCCAACGUUGGAGGCGUAGGAAGAGAAGAAAUCUCCCGUAGGAGCUGGAGUCGGAGGUUGGAGCCGUAGGCGUUGACAGAUACCAUGUUACUUUCUGGAGGAGGUGCAGUCCUGGAGGCGCCGUCGGAGCUUCUGGAGCCUUCUAGCGACGAUCGCCGGAGAAUUCGCGACUAGGUUUUUCCGCCCACGAGAAAGGGGGAAAAACGGAUAAAACUGUCGCUGGAGAGAGAAGAAAGGGGAAGAAUGAUUUUGGGGGGAAAUAUGAAAAAUGUUAAUCUUUU
rnacentral:lncRNA from 1 species